rnacentral:rRNA from 1 species
UACGGAGGGUGCGAGCGUUGUCCGGAAUCACUGGGCGUAAAGGGCGCGUAGGUGGCGCGGGUAGUCGUCGGUGAAAGCUCAGGGCUCAACCCUGAGUCGGCCGGUGAUACUCCCGUGCUUGAGUGUGGUAGAGGCCAAUGGAAUUCCGGGUGUAGCGGUGGAAUGCGUAGAGAUCCGGAAGAACACCGGUGGCGAAGGCGGUUGGCUGGGCCACAACUGACACUGAUGCGCGACAGCGUGGGGGAGCAAACAGG